AGAGUUUGAUCCUGGCUCAGAUGGAACGCUGGCGGCAUGCCUUACACAUGCAAGUCGAACGGUAACAGGGAGCUUGCUCCGCUGACGAGUGGCGAACGGGUGAGUAAUAUAUCGGAACGUACCUUUGAGUGGGGGAUAACUAGUCGAAAGAUUAGCUAAUACCGCAUACGAUCUACGGAUGAAAGCGGGGGAUCGCAAGACCUCGUGCUCAUAGAGCGGCCGAUAUCUGAUUAGCUAGUUGGUGAGGUAAAGGCUCACCAAGGCUUCGAUCAGUAGCUGGUCUGAGAGGACGACCAGCCACACUGGGACUGAGACACGGCCCAGACUCCUACGGGAGGCAGCAGUGGGGACUCUUGGACAAUGGGGGCAACCCUGAUCCAGCAAUGCCGCGUGAGUGACGAACGCCUUCGGGUUGUACAGCUCUUUUGUCAGGA
rnacentral:rRNA from 1 species